rnacentral:lncRNA from 1 species
CAAAAUAUUAUGUACAGCAUGUGUACAGUGUACUCAUCUAGCAGCCUUAGAACACAAUUUGCAAGUCAGGCAGGAGAAGCAUCAGUACAUUCAAAACCAAUUUGUUUCCAAAAGUCAAAAAAUCUAUGAUGACAGAUAGUUAGGUAGCUUAAGAAAUAAUAACUAUUGACCUCUACUCUUUAACUUAACCAAAUGGCUUUGCAAAU